rnacentral:rRNA from 1 species
ACGUAGGUGGCGAGCGUUGUUCGGAAUCAUUGGGCGUAAAGAGCGUGUAGGCGGGUGGAUAAGUCAGAUGUAAAAGCGCUAGGCUCAACCUGGGAAGGGCGUUUGAAACUGUCAUGCUUGAGUAGGGGAGAGGCAAGUGGAAUUCCUGGUGUAGAGGUGAAAUUCGUAGAUAUCAGGAGGAACACCAGUGGCGAAGGCGACUUCCUGGCCUUAUACUGACGCUGAGACGCGAGAGCGUGGGUAGCAAACAG